rnacentral:rRNA from 1 species
GACCUCCGGAAGGAUCAUUA